CCCGCCGGACCUGACUGCUAUCGGAUUGAUACUAAGCCAUGCGAGUCAUUGUAGCAAUACAAGGCAGACGGCUCAGUAACGCGUAAUCAACCUAACCUAUGGACGGGAAUAACCUCGGGAAACUGAGAAUAAUGCCCGAUAGAACACUAUGCCUGGAAUGGUUUGUGUUCCCAAAUGAUUUAUCGCCGUAGGAUGGGACUGCGGCCUAUCAGUUUGUUGGUGAGGUAAUGGCCCACCAAGACUAUUACAGGUACGGGCUCUGAGAGGAGUAGCCCGGAGAUGGGUACUGAGACACGGACCCAGGCCCUAUGGGGCGCAGCAGGCGAGAAAACUUUGCAAUGUGCGAAAGCACGACAAGGUUAAUCCGAGUGGUUUCUGCUAAAGGAACCUUUUGUCGGUCCUAGAAACACCGAUGAAUAAGGGGUGGGCAAGUUCUGGUGUCAGCCGCCGCGGUAAAACCAGCACCUCAAGUGGUCAGGAUGAUUAUUGGGCCUAAAGCAUCCGUAGCCUGCUUUGUUAGUUUUCGGUUAAAUCUAUACGCUCAACGUAUAGGCUGCCGGGAAUACUGCAAAGCUAGGGAGUGGGAGAGGUAGACGGUACUCGGUAGGAAGGGGUAAAAUCCUUUGAUCUAUUGAUGACCACCUGUGGCGAAGGCGGUCUACCAGAACACGUCCGACGGUGAGGGAUGAAAGCUGGGGGAGCAAACCGGAUUAGAUACCCGGGUAGUCCCAGCCGUAAACCAUGCAAACUCAGUGAUGCAUUGGCUUGUGGCCAAUGCAGUGCUGCAGGGAAGCCGUUAAGUUUGCCGCCUGGGAAGUACGUACGCAAGUAUGAAACUUAAAGGAAUUGGCGGGGGAGCACCACAA
rnacentral:rRNA from 1 species